rfam:Triticum urartu cultivar G1812 contig701864, whole genome shotgun sequence.
AUGAUACUCCCUCGUUCGAAAUUACUUGUCUCUGAAUUGGAUGUAUUUAGAACUAAAAUACGUCUAGAUACAUCCAUUUCUACGACAAGUAAUUCCGAACGGAGGGAGUACGUC